CUUUCGGGGCAACUCGGAAGUGAGUGGCGAAAGGGGCAGUAAGGCAUGGGUAACGUACCCCCUGGUCUGGGAUAGCCUCGGGAAACUGAGGGUAAUACCGGGUAAAGUGUAGGCGUCGCAUGGCGCUCGCACCAGAGGUCAGCCGCCGGGGGAGCGGCCCAUGUAGUAUUAGCUAGUUGGCGGGGUAACGGCCCACCAAGGCAAAGAUGCUUAGCGGGUGUGAGAGCACGACCCGCGCCACUGGCACUGAGACACUGGCCAGACUCCUACGGGAGGCUGCAGUCGAGGAUCUUCGGCAAUGGGCGCAAGCCUGACCGAGCGACGCCGCGUGUGCGAUGAAGGCCUUCGGGUUGUAAAGCACUUUGGCGGGGGAGGAAGGCCCGAAAGGGUUUGACCUAUCCCGAGAACAAGCACGGGCUAAGUUCGUGCCAGCAGCCGCGGUAAGACGAACCGUGCGAACGUUGUUCGGAAUCACUGGGCUUAAAGGGCGCGUAGGCGGGCGAUCAAGUCGGGGGUGAAAUCUUUCGGCUCAACCGGAAAAUAGCCUUCGAUACUGGUCGUCUGGAGGGAGGUAGGGGCGUGUGGAACUUCCGGUGGAGCGGUGAAAUGCGUUGAUAUCGGAAGGAACUCCGGUGGCGAAAGCGACACGCUGGAUCUCAUCUGACGCUGAGGCGCGAAAGCCAGGGGAGCGAACGGGAUUAGAUACCCCGGUAGUCCUGGCCCUAAACGAUGGGUACUGGGUAGUGGACUUGACAUGGGUUCACUGCCGAAGCGAAAGUGGUAAGUACCCCGCCUGGGGAGUAUGGUCGCAAGGCUG
rnacentral:rRNA from 1 species